AAAUUAGAAAGCGAAAAAUUGCGUUUAGUUUCGACCUAAAUCUUGGUUCUCAUACCUCUAAUU
rnacentral:tRNA from 1 species